rnacentral:rRNA from 1 species
UACGUAGGGUGCAAGCGUUGUCCGGAAUUUAUUGGGCGUAAAGAGCUACGUAGGCGGUCGUGUUGCUGUCGGCUGUGAAAAACCCGGGGCUCAACCCCGGGCCCUGGCAGCCCGAUCGGGCAGACUAGAGUUCGGCAGGGGAGACUGGAAAUUCCUGGGUGAGGCGGUGAAAUGCGCAGGAUAAUCAGGAGGAACACCGGUGGCGAAGGCGGGGUCUCUGGGCCGGAAGUGACUGACGUGAGGAGCGAAAGCGUGGGGAGCGA